GAUGCAGUAUUUGAUUUUCUUGCUCCACAGUUAGCGUCCGUUUAGAAAGAAAUAUAACGGUAAGCAACCAAGGAAAAGAAUUAACGAUAAGCAACCUAUAUGCAAAUAAUUGGUGCAAGUUAAAAGAAAACUACAAACAUAGAGCAUCAGAACAGGACUGUGCAUUCUUGCUAGAAAAAGAAUGUUUUCAACGUGGUUACGGAUACUAUAGAUAAUAAGGAUAACAAUGUCUUGAUUAAUUUGGUCCAAUCUGCCCCAUCCCCUGCAUAUCGUCGUCCCUCCCUGGCCACUAUUUCCCAUUCAAUGCCCGGACUGCUGGGGAGUUCUUAGCCUGCAAGUAGUAUCAUAAUGCUGAUUACAGGCAUACAACGUGCACUCGAUAUCCAUAAUUAGGAAAUUAGUUCACAUUUUAGAUCCAUGUUCAUAGAAAUAGACACAUAGCAACUGACUGUCCAAAGGCCCAAGAAACAACAAUAUGGUGCUAACUCGCUCCAUUAUGUUCUACUCCCUCCGUUUCAAAUUAACCAUCUAGGACUGCAAGUUAGAAUUUUAUAAGACGGCCAAAAUUAGCUCAAAUUAUUUCUAGGAGAGGGCACCUCAAAAAUUUUAGUACUCCCUCCGUUCUCACAGGGGAGUGGGUUCCCGGCGCUACUGCCCGGCCACCCACUCCCCUAUCUCCACCAACUGAGGGCCGUUGUCGAUGCCGUGCGCGUUGGCUGCCGAUGAGGCUUGCUUGUAGUCCUGGCUGCCUGCUGCCCUGCUUGUAGUCCUCCUGUACCCUGGAGGGCGACGCCGUCAUCCAACAGAUAUGCAAACAGAGCAAGCAUGUUCGCAGACGACAUUUCACCCUCGAGCAUCGGUCGCCAGGCGCCACACUCGUCCUGCCACAAGACGACGAGCAGCCCGUUCGCGGACACUGCCGCCGACCUCGCGUUCGCGGACACUGCCGUCGGCUCGAGCAGUCAAGUUCCUGCAGCUGCUCGGCCGCGUCCGUCAGCGUCACUUCUCACUGCCACGGCUAGCUAGGAGGCGAAAGCAGCGGCGACCUCGAGCAGCGCGGUCACCAUGGAGCUUCGCCGCCGCGGCGUCCCGGCUCCUGAGCCAGAAAACAGCCAAGUCAGAUGGCAAUCAGGUCAAAUCCGGACCGCCCGUGUCGGAUCGGACGGACGCCAGAGACCCAAGGGUGGACGGUAAAUGAAAUACUGUCCGCCCCCUACGCUGCCGCUGGGCACGGCGUCCUCUGCUCCACCGGUUCCGCCUCGCAGGGCCGCCCAGCCCCCGGCUUGCAGCGACCAUCACGGUGACAUUUGUCCCCGCCGAGCAGCCACACAGACGUGGGUAUGACGGUCGUGUUGCCGACAUCGACGGCCUAACAAAACCUCGUUCCCGUCAAGUGACGACCGCGCCUACAUGCCUGCUGAGUGCCGACGAAGCCUCUCACCGGCGGCCGCGGAUCCCAUAUCCUGGCCUGAGUUUAGCCCGUUCACGGACGUAACGCAAAGUCAGCCAAAUUUUUCGAGCUGCAAAUUCAAAUUCAGUACCAAUUUCAGACAGUUAACCUUGUAUCAGGGAGCAUCAGCAUCGACAGCACGACUGCACGAGGUGGGUUAAUGGUGGAAUCGAUGCCGUCGCGCUUUCUCUCUUUCUUUUCUUAAUUGCGGUGCCCUCAUGCUUUUCUGCUGGCCAGCCGUCCCCUCGACUGCGACUCAUGUCGACAUGCACUAGCUCAUGUCUCUAUUAGAAUAUCAAUAAUGCGAGGCCAAAUUUGCAGCAAAAAAGCAGAUUCCAUUAGGAAGUUGCCUACCGGCUCAGGCUCCAGCUGAACAAGGCAUAAAGCAGUGCUAGCACGACUGCACGAGGUGGGUUAAUGGUGGAAUCGAUGCUGUCGCGCUUUCUCUCUUUCUUUUCUUAAUUGCGGUGCCCUCAUGCUUUUCUGCUGGCCAGCCGUCCCCUCGACUGCGAUUCAUGUCGACAUGCACUAGCUCAUGUCUCUAUUAGAAUAUCAAUAAUGCGAGGCCAAAUUUGCAGCAAAAAAGCAGAUUCCAUUAGGAAGUUGCCUACCGUCUCAGGCUCCAGCUGAACAAGGCAUAAAGCAGUGCUAGCCAAGGGAAGAACUCACAGCACCGUGCAGUGGUGUCCACGACUUCAAUUGCAGAGCAAGCCCUUGAAGCAUCACCGCCGUGCUCUAACCGGUCCAGCCGUGCUUGGCUGCGACAUUUGAGGUGGUGGUGUUUUCCUGCAAAAUAACUCAUCAGCAUGCCGUACAGUGGUUGUUGAGCGAAUGCUAGCACUGCCAAUAAGUUAGGUUCAGUGUAACGAACGUGACACCAUUUAUGUCAUUUCGAGUGAUUUUGUGCAAACUAGUUCGAGCCAUAGGUUUAAGUUUUUAGAGUGCCUAAUUCACCCCCUCCCCAUCUUAGGCUAGAGCACCCGAUUCCUUUCAUUCAGCAGUUUGGAUAAAACAAUUACCAUCUACAAAUUUGCCCUUUUUUUAUAAUGUCUAAUUGACCCUUUAGAUUAGCAAGCAAAUCAUCCCUGGGUUUAUACAUAUCGGCAGUUUUCUGAUCCAUAAUAGAUGAUAAUUGGCUGAGCAAGUCGGGAGAUGAGGUGCUUACAUCGCUUAUUACCUCGACUUGCUUAUUUUUGAGCGUGAAGGAGGGCAUCACGAAGUCUUGAGCCCUCGUGACUUGGCCUUUCUGAUCUUUUUUGAACCCCUUCAAGAAUUGUGCCUUGAAGUGCUCCCUGGCCACCAAAUAAUCUUGAUGCUUCUCCUCGCUAAGUUCCUCGAAAGAUGUAGAGAUGAUGUUGCCCUCGUCGAGAAUUUGGUCACACACUCGAAUGCGCUAGAACGCGCAGCAAGAUCGUCAAAACGAUCAACACCAGCAGCCUCUUUGCGCAGACCGGUCAGACCAGUUAUGCGAACCGGUCAGACCGGUGCUCUAGGGAGACGGCGAAAACCGAGAACCACAAGCUCGGGAGGGACCCUGUCGGAGCUUGAAGAUCUAGGGUUAUUCUGAGGUCGGCAUGCCACUCAGAACGCCCUCGAACGCCGUAGAGAUGCAAGAAGAACAUCAGAUGGGGUUGGAAAAAUUAGGGUUUGGAGAUGAAAAGUAAAGUACUAAUUAUUCAAUCGAUUGAGAUUACCUUCAAACAGCAAAGAUUUCUUAAUACAAAAUCUAAAUCUACUCGGACUCUACAAGCCUGA